GGCUCGGUAGCUUAGUUGGAAAAGCACUUGUCUAGCGAAUAAAGGUUGUGAAUUCAAAUCUCACCUGAGCUG
rnacentral:tRNA from 1 species